CCACAAGCUUCAAAUUUUGUUGCCCGAUUACUAUCUCCAUUUCCUUUUUUUUUCUUUAGGUAGAUGGAUUUCUGUAAAACUAUAUUAAUUUUGAUAAGGAAUACAUUUCUGCAGUUAUUGUUAAAACUGUAAAAGAAGAUUGUCUCCAUGACCCAGAAUUCAACUCAGAAUUUUUGCAAGAAAAUUUCAGUGGCUACUGCACACAGUGCUUGAGUUAACAUCAUUAGAGUCCUGGAGCAGGCUUGUUGACCUGCAGAGCCUUUUUGUGGUCCAUGAAGAUGGAUUCCUUGAGCCUGAGUACUCAUACAUCAUGUUAAUAAUUGUAUAUAAUUGCAUAUACAUUGCUCAGUAUUUUAUAUCAGCAUUUUAUAUCACUACACAAGUCCAGUGUCAUCUACUGUGCAGCCUAGGUGAGCCCUGGCAGUAAUUAAAGUAUUUUAAACCAUCUGGUUAAUUGCAAAAAAAAAAAUACACUGAUGAGCUUGCACUGUUUGAAUGAUCUUCAGGAAACUAUUAGGCUAAAGCAAUUCCCUCUUGGCAAGGUUUAGCUAAUUCACAAUGUUUGUUCUGUGAAUUACAGUUGGUCUUUACACCAUUUGUUAGUCUUGUAGCAGAGCCCUGCUUGCUGCUACUGAGCCAGAGAUUCCUCCUGUUCUCCUUUGCUCUGCUUCCUCAUCUCUGCCUGUCAAGCUCUUCAUUGAAGUGGAGACUUUGGGAGCAGAGCA
rnacentral:lncRNA from 1 species